rnacentral:rRNA from 1 species
UCAUUUUAGUCCGUUCCGAGAUUGUUCAGCGGUUUGCUGGCCUUCCGGCAGUCAUCUCUAUGGAAAAUAGGCGAGCGCGUUCCGGGUAUGGAUAGAGAGAGCAAAAAUAUUUGCGAAACCCUCUUGCGGGGUACGGAGCUUAUGCCUACAAUCACGCCUCUUUCGCGCUACGGCGAACGCGGCGCGAAGGGGGAAGCGGG